rnacentral:lncRNA from 12 species
GGAAGCGCAUUGCAGUGGAGUACUUGUUGGCCCAGUCCAACAGAGGUGACCAAUUGAUUGCACAUCACAAUGACAUGCCUGAAGUCCCCCCAGAGGAGCCCGAAGAGGAUAGUGAAAUUGACACGACUGUGUGCUAUGCAGCUGACUUUAGGGCUGAUGACUCUGACCCUCCAGUAGCUGUUGUACAGGCCCAGGUGACCAGUCAGGUUGGUGACACUGAACCCAAAUCCCCUGAUGAGGAGGUCACUAAGGAAGAGGAAGAUGACACUGCAAGUCCUAGCACAUCAAGCCAGCGUUUUUCUCAAUUUUCAGACUACACAGUGUGAUUCCAGAGGUGUCUUGGGCUGGGAGGCAGUUGAUGCCCUGGCAGCCUACUUGGUUGGCCUAAACCGAACGAUCACUGCCUUGUCAUCACAAGAGGAGGCCAACAUAGUCCAGCUGUACAUGGCUCUGCAUACCAUGGACAAGGUACCAUAUAAAAUAUAGCCAGAGGGUUAAGAAGAAGGCUUUGACAGGACCUUGGAGAGCAUCCAGGAAGCAGAGUGGCUCUGCUCCAGGACAGCAGGCAGCAGAGAGAUUGUUCAUGACUCAUGGGCAGGCAGCUCAGGACCCUGAAGUCCAUAGGGUCUGUGAAUGUGUUUGCCUAAGGCUUUUGAAAGAGUUUCAGCAAGCACGGAACAGGCCCAGGGACACACAAGGAAAAACUCUGCCAAUUCCACAAUCUAUUGCCACUUAAAACAGCUGAUGGAGGACAGCAGAGAGGUUCUAGGACAAACUAACCUAGUUCUGGUCCCGAUAAACACCACUACUGUCUCCUCUUGGCUACUAAGAAGACAGAAACGUGUAGACAGAGACAUGCUUCUGCAGGGUACUGCACUGCCCAAACAAUUAUAUUUGGCAAAGGAGGAUCUUCCUGAAGUGCGCGCACUUCCAGCUGUUCCUGCACAGCAUGGGCAUGAGGCCAUGGUAUUUCAGAAUACAGCAAAUCAGGAGGGAGAGGCCUUCAUUUGUAAGCGUAUCUCCAACAGGUGCCCAUUGCCCACCCCUCCUCCUGGAUCUUACUCUGCAUUUCCCAUAUACCCACCAGCACCACACUUUGCAUUCCCCCCUGGGUCCUACCCACCCUUUUCCAGCUACCCACCAGGUCUACCACUUCCUCAGUCUAUCCAAUUCCAGCCCCCUCCCCAAUUCCAGCCACCUCCCCAAUUCCAGCAUCCUCCCCAAUUCCAGCCGCCUAAAAACCUGCCACCACAAACUUGUCCCUCUACUCAGCCCAGGCAGCGCACAUGGAGAAGGCAGAAAGCUGCCCAAGAGGAUGAAGAGCGAGUGGCUAGAGGUGAACCACCACGGAAAUGACUAGCAAAGGAUAUAUUAUCACUACAUCUGCAAGCAGUGUGGGCUGGCAAAAAAUAAGACAACUGGCCACACUCAGCUGAAGGGCCGGUGGUAUUGUCCAGCCUCAGGCCUCUCUGUUGCACAGUGGAGGGAGAAUGUACAGGGAGGUCUUUGAUUUUUUAAUCACUGGUGUAUAUAAUAAUGUAUAUAGUUAGGUUUUUAUAUAGUUGCAUAUGGUUCUGUUUUUAAUUGUGUUUGCUGUGCUGUGUGUGUGUUGUGCUGUGAACAUUUUGUUUUUAGUUGCUGUUUCCAGUGUUUAAUUUACAGUGUUUGUAAAAAAAAAACAAAGACACAACUCUUGUGGUGUAAUAGUAACACAUCCACCCUUUGGGUGGAAGAUUCCAGGUGCAAGUCCUGGCAAGAGUGUGUGGUGUGUUUGUCAGAUCAUUAUUAUUAUUAUUAUUAUUAUUAUUAUUUUAUUUUUUUAUUAUUAGAAAAUGUAUAGUCAAAAAAAAAACACUUAAAUCCUUUAUAGCAUGGAUAUUUUUUUCUUUCCUUUUCUUGCUUUCCCUCCUUUCUCCUUCUCUUUUCCCUUUCUUUCCCCCUUGUAGCAGUCCCUUUUGCCCUGUUUUGAACUAACCCUUUAAGGCGAUGGACUGCUAAUCCAUUGUGCUCUGCAAGCGUGGGUUCGAAUCCCAUCCUCGUCGUUCUUUGCAGUUAAUGGUGGUUUUUACUUUAGGGGCACCUUCCUUAUGUGACACGUUCAGUUCAUUGAGUGCUCUACAAACAAGCUGAUGAUCUGAAACAGGUGUGUUAAAAAAUGGAGUCACGCAGGGUGACGAGGUGGCCUUGCGGUUAAGUAGAUGGACUGCUAAUCCAUUGUGCUUUGCGCGCUUUCUUCAGAAUCUGCCUUUUUCCACCAAAGAAAAGGCAAUACAUUACAGAAACGAAACCUCUUUUGUCAACAAGAUGGUAAGCUUCCACAGAAGCUGGCAAAAAUUGCCAAGGCUGACUGUAUUUCAAGUUAUCCUGGUGGGGUAUUGGGUAAAGUUUUCAACCAGCAAUGAUCGCGCCUCGGAUAAACCUCAUAGGCUACAAUAUUGCCUCUGCGAAAGAAUGGUGGUGAAGGUCGCGACCUCUCACCGUGCACCCAUGUGGACGUGGAACGACAGGGUGGUAAUAAGCUUCAAACUGCAGUGUAAUCAGUCUUCUGGCACUGAUGGCUGCGUGGUGUGUCUACGAAACCAUUUAGCAGUAUGUAUCAUAAGCCCUAUUUACUGCUCUCUCUUUACUUAAAGAAGAAUGUGUGAUGCUUUCCUGAACCAUAACUCCUUCCAGGACAGCCAGAAACCUAGGAGUUGUGAUGGAUCAUCAGUUAAGCUUCACAGACCAUAUUGCUACAACGACCCGGUCCUGCAGAUUUGCCUUAUACAACAUUAGGAAGAUUAGACCCUUCCUGUCAGAGCAAGCCACCCAACUUCUUGUCCAAGCUCUUGUUCUCUCCAGACUGGACUAUUGUAAUGCUCUCCUGGCGGGCCUUCCUGCAUGUACUAUCAAGCCUCUACAACUGAUCCAGAAUGCAGCAGCGAGGGUUGUCUUCAAUGAGCCAAAAACAGCUCAUGUUACUCCUCUCCUCAUCAGGUUACACUGGCUACCAGUAGCCGCUCGCAUCAAAUUCAAGGUACUGAUGCUUGCCUACAAGACGACCACUGGCACGGCGCCAACAUACCUAAACUCACUAGUUCAGUCUUAUGCGCCCUCCAGAAGUUUGCGCUCUGCAAGUGAACGACGUCUUGUGGUGCCAUCCCAAAGAGGUUCAAAAUCACUCUCACGGACUUUUUCCUGGACUGCGCCCAGCUGGUGGAAUGACCUCCCGAUCUCAAUUCGAACAGCUGAGUCUUUACUCAUUUUUAAAAAACAUCUAAAGACUCAUCUUUUUUGCCUGCACUUAACCAACUAAUACUAGUACUUACCUUUUCUUUUUCUUGUCUAUCAUAUUCAAAAAAAAAAAAAAAAAAAAAAAAACCCUGGCUACGUGUUCUGUACUAGACUAACUGAGACUUGUCAUAGCACUUGUAUACCGUUGUUGUUCUCUCGUUGAUCUGAUUGUUUCUACUGUUCUCAUUUGUAAGUCGCUUUGGAUAAAAGCGUCUGCUAAAUGAUUAAAUGUAAAUGUAAAUGUAACCCCUGGGGGAAGAGAAUUAUGGGCAACAAAGGGGUGGAAUCAUAAAGCUUGUGGUCGAGGUGACACGAGCUUGUGCAUUACGAUACCCUUGGGGAAUGAAGGGAAUUCUGCGCCGAUCGAGUCACUGACCAGUUCCAUUUCUGUGAAUUCUGGUUUAGGUACUUCACAAGUGUUUGCAAAGUCUAUGCAAAAUUGCAAAAUGUAAAAAGGAAAUCUGUAAAUCAAGGUAUUUUAAAAAAUAGGAAAAGGGGUUUCUUUCAGACAGUAAAUCAAUCAAGAACAAAGGGUCUCUUAGGUGGUCAUUUGAAUAAAAAGUAUUAUAUCAAAAAGUGAUCAAAUUCAUCAUCUUUUAUUAGACUCUAAUUUAGACUUACUUUGUUUAUCUGAGGCAUGGCUUCAUGAUAAUUCUCCAUCUGCAACAUUAGAAGUACCUGGUUUUAAACUGUAUAGGAAAGAUAGAGUUGGUUCUAAGGGAGGCGGAGUUAUGAUUUACGUGAAAACUGGCAUCCAGUGUAAUGAAAUCGCUUGGGCAAAUUGCAUAGAUUUGGAAUGUACUGGUCUUAAUCUUAUACUAUCACCACAGAUGUCUUUUGUAUUAAUUGUAAUUUAUCGUCCACCAUCUUCAAAUAUUAGUUUUUAUGAA